AUUGAACGCUGGCGGCGUGCUUAACACAUGCAAGUCGUACGCGAAAGGGACUUCGGUCUCGAGUAAAGUGGCGCACGGGUGAGUAACACGUGGAUAAUCUGCCUCUAUGAUGGGGAUAACAGUUGGAAACGACUGCUAAUACCGAAUACGCUCAUGAUGAACUUUAUGAGGAAAGGUGGCCUCUGCUUGCAAGCUAUCGCAUAGAGAUGAGUCCGCGUCCCAUUAGCUAGUUGGUGGGGUAACGGCCUACCAAGGCAACGAUGGGUAGCCGAUUUGAGAGGAUGAUCGGCCACACUGGAACUGAAACACGGUCCAGACUCCUACGGGAGGCAGCAGUGGGGAAUAUUGCGCAAUGGGCGAAAGCCUGACGCAGCGACGCCGCGUGAGGGAUGAAGGUCUUCGGAUCGUAAACCUCUGUCAGAAGGGAAGAAACUAGGGUGCUCUAAUCAUCAUCCUACUGACGGUACCUUCAAAGGAAGCACCGGCUAACUCUGUGCCAGCCGCCGCAGUAAAAC
rnacentral:rRNA from 1 species